GGCUGUCCAGAUGUGUAAAAUACAUCUGUUAGCAAGGCCGGGCAAGACCGGUGCCAGCCGCCGCGGUAACACCGGCGGCCCGAGUGGUGAUCGUGAUUAUGGGUCUAAAGGGUCCGUAGCCGGUUUGGUCAGUCCUCCGGGAAAUCUGAUGGCUCAACCAUUAGGCUUUCGCGGGAUACUGCCAGGCUUGGAACCGGGAGAGGUAAGAGGUACUACAGGGUAGGAGUGAAAUCUUGUAAUCCCUGUGAGACCACCUGUGGCGAAGGCGUCUUACCAGAACGGGUUCGACGGUGAGGGACGAAAGCUGGGGGCACGAACCGGAUUAGAUACCCGGGUAGUCCCAGCCGUAAACGAUGCUCGCUAGGUGUCAGGCAUGGCGCGACCGUGUCUGGUGCCGCAGGGAAGCCGUGAAGCGAGCCACCUCGGAAGUACGGCCGCAAGGCUGAAACUUAAAGGAAUUGGCGGGGGAGCACAACAACGGGUGGAGCCUGCGGUUUAAUUGGACUCAACGCCGGACAACUCACCGGGGACGACAGCAAUAUGUAGGCCAGGCUGAAGACCUUGCCU
rnacentral:rRNA from 1 species